rnacentral:rRNA from 1 species
GACACUCUGUACGGAGUUACAAAGGACGACAUUAGACGAAUCAUCUGGAAAGAUGAAUCAAAGAAGGUAAUAAUCCUGUAGUCGAAAAUGUUGUCUCUCUUGAGUGGAUCCUGAGUACGACGGAGCACGUGAAAUUCCGUCGGAAUCUGGGAGGACCAUCUCCUAAGGCUAAAUACUCUCUAGUGACCGAUAGUGAACCAGUACCGUGAGGGAAAGGUGAAAAGCACCCCGGAAGGGGAGUGAAAUAGAACCUGAAACCGUGUGCUUACAAGUAGUCAGAGCCCGUUAAUGGGUGAUGGCGUGCCUUUUGUAGAAUGAACCGGCGAGUUACGAUUUGAUGCAAGGUUAAGCAGUAAAUGUGGAGCCGUAGCGAAAGCGAGUCUGAAUAGGGCGUUUAGUAUUUGGUCGUAGACCCGAAACCAGGUGAUCUACCCUUGGUCAGGUUGAAGUUCAGGUAACACUGAAUGGAGGACCGAACCGACUUACGUUGAAAAGUGAGCGGAUGAACUGAGGGUAGCGGAGAAAUUCCAAUCGAACCUGGAGAUAGCUGGUUCUCUCCGAAAUAGCUUUAGGGCUAGCCUCAAGUGAUGAUUAUUGGAGGUAGAGCACUGUUUGGACGAGGGGCCCCUCUCGGGUUACCGAAUUCAGACAAACUCCGAAUGCCAAUUAAUUUAACUUGGGAGUCAGAACAUGGGUGAUAAGGUCCGUGUUCGAAAGGGAAACAGCCCAGACCACCAGCUAAGGUCCCAAAAUAUAUGUUAAGUGGAAAAGGAUGUGGCGUUGCCCAGACAACUAGGAUGUUGGCUUAGAAGCAGCCAUCAUUUAAAGAGUGCGUAAUAGCUCACUAGUCGAGUGACACUGCGCCGAAAAUGUACCGGGGCUAAACAUAUUACCGAAGCUGUGGAUUGUCCUUUGGACAAUGGUAGGAGAGCGUUCUAAGGGCGUUGAAGCAUGAUCGUAAGGACAUGUGGAGCGCUUAGAAGUGAGAAUGCCGGUGUGAGUAGCGAAAGACGGGUGAGAAUCCCGUCCACCGAUUGACUAAGGUUUCCAGAGGAAGGCUCGUCCGCUCUGGGUUAGUCGGGUCCUAAGCUGAGGCCGACAGGCGUAGGCGAUGGAUAACAGGUUGAUAUUCCUGUACCACCUAUAAUCGUUUUAAUCGAUGGGGGGACGCAGUAGGAUAGGCGAAGCGUGCGAUUGGAUUGCACGUCUAAGCAGUAAGGCUGAGUAUUAGGCAAAUCCGGUACUCGUUAAGGCUGAGCUGUGAUGGGGAGAAGACAUUGUGUCUUCGAGUCGUUGAUUUCACACUGCCGAGAAAAGCCUCUAGAUAGAAAAUAGGUGCCCGUACCGCAAACCGACACAGGUAGUCAAGAUGAGAAUUCUAAGGUGAGCGAGCGAACUCUCGUUAAGGAACUCGGCAAAAUGACCCCGUAACUUCGGGAGAAGGGGUGCUCUUUAGGGUUAACGCCCAGAAGAGCCGCAGUGAAUAGGCCCAAGCGACUGUUUAUCAAAAACACAGGUCUCUGCUAAACCGUAAGGUGAUGUAUAGGGGCUGACGCCUGCCCGGUGCUGGAAGGUUAAGAGGAGUGGUUAGCUUCUGCGAAGCUACGAAUCGAAGCCCCAGUAAACGGCGGCCGUAACUAUAACGGUCCUAAGGUAGCGAAAUUCCUUGUCGGGUAAGUUCCGACCCGCACGAAAGGCGUAACGAUUUGGGCACUGUCUCAACGAGAGACUCGGUGAAAUCAUAGUACCUGUGAAGAUGCAGGUUACCCGCGACAGGACGGAAAGACCCCGUGGAGCUUUACUGUAGCCUGAUAUUGAAAUUCGGCACAGCUUGUACAGGAUAGGUAGGAGCCUUUGAAACGUGAGCGCUAGCUUACGUGGAGGCGCUGGUGGGAUACUACCCUAGCUGUGUUGGCUUUCUAACCCGCACCACUUAUCGUGGUGGGAGACAGUGUCAGGCGGGCAGUUUGACUGGGGCGGUCGCCUCCUAAAAGGUAACGGAGGCGCUCAAAGGUUCCCUCAGAAUGGUUGGAAAUCAUUCAUAGAGUGUAAAGGCAUAAGGGAGCUUGACUGCGAGACCUACAAGUCGAGCAGGGUCGAAAGACGGACUUAGUGAUCCGGUGGUUCCGCAUGGAAGGGCCAUCGCUCAACGGAUAAAAGCUACCCCGGGGAUAACAGGCUUAUCUCCCCCAAGAGUUCACAUCGACGGGGAGGUUUGGCACCUCGAUGUCGGCUCAUCGCAUCCUGGGGCUGUAGUCGGUCCCAAGGGUUGGGCUGUUCGCCCAUUAAAGCGGUACGCGAGCUGGGUUCAGAACGUCGUGAGACAGUUCGGUCCCUAUCCGUCGUGGGCGUAGGAAAUUUGAGAGGAGCUGUCCUUAGUACGAGAGGACCGGGAUGGACAUACCUCUGGUGUACCAGUUGUCGUGCCAACGGCAUAGCUGGGUAGCUAUGUGUGGACGGGAUAAGUGCUGAAAGCAUCUAAGCAUGAAGCCCCCCUCAAGAUGAGAUUUCCCAACUUCGGUUAUAAGAUCCCUCAAAGAUGAUGAGGUUAAUAGGUUCGAGGUGGAAGCAUGGUGACAUGUGGAGCUGACGAAUACUAAUCGAUCGAAGACUUAAUCAA